rnacentral:rRNA from 1 species
GACGAACGCUGGCGGCGUGCUUAACACAUGCAAGUCGAACGGAAAGGCCCUGCUUUUGUGGGGUGCUCGAGUGGCGAACGGGUGAGUAACACGUGAGUAACCUGCCCUUGACUUUGGGAUAACUUCAGGAAACUGGGGCUAAUACCGGAUAGGAGCUCCUGCUGCAUGGUGGGGGUUGGAAAGUUUCGGCGGUUGGGGAUGGACUCGCGGCUUAUCAGCUUGUUGGUGGGGUAGUGGCUUACCAAGGCUUUGACGGGUAGCGGGCCGGAGAGGGUGACCGGCCACAUGGGAACGGGGAUAGGGCCCGGACGCCAGCGGGGGGCAGCGGUGGGGAAUAUGGCACAAGGGGCGGAGGCCGGAGGCGGCAAGGCGGGUGGGGGAAUAAGGGCCUUCGGGUGGGAAAACGCGUUCGCCUGUAACGAGGGGGGAGGAAGGGAAAGGGGUAAGGAGGCACCGGCAAACUAGGU